GUUUCCGUAGUGUAGUGGUCUUCAUGUUCGCCUCAUACACGAAAGGUCCCCGGUUCGAAACCGGGUGGAAACA
rnacentral:tRNA from 2 species